UCCAUUUUGCGGCGGCGCCGAGGAAGACGCACCACGCGCCUCGUGGAAGGGGACAGCGGAGAGGACGAGUGAGAGUCCAGCGGGAGCGGGCUCGCCGGCGUCGACUGUGUCCGACGAGGUAGGGACUAGGAAGAAGCUGGAUAAUAAGAAUAGUCUCAGCCUUGUCAUGGGAGAACAACUCAUCGCAGAAAGAUGAAGCUGCAUCACGAUCUUAGGAAAGGCAAACAUGAGACAAUGUAUUGGAAGGCGAACAAUAGCUGGGAAGGUCGCUAAGAAAACAUAUACUAAACGAUGACAUCUCCACAAUUUUACUAUUAUGGUAUUCUGGAGUGAUGGAGUAAGCAAUUUGCCAGCUCUGCGUGAAUUAAUUAUCUCAGGGCAUCAGCUCUGUAGGUUCAUGACUUGGCGACAGGGAAGAAGUUCAUGUUGGAAGAUUAGCAAUAUUAGAUAGGCAAGGAGUUCAAGUAUUGAUACGGUUGCGCAUAUCAAAGUUUUUUGUUUGGAUUUAUGUUGUUUUGUUGAAAUCUUUGAGUAAUUUCAAAGAAUUUGUUUCAUCUUUGAUGUUUAUAAGCUAAUCUUGAAGUCAGCAUCAAGUGGAUCUACAAAAUGCAUUCACAUAUAUAUUCUGUAACAUUGCUUAACAUGUAUAGCCUCGAAGCUAGAUCCUUUGAUCAAAUAUCAACUUGGAUGCAAAGCUCUAUCAACUGUUUUUUUGUCAA